rnacentral:rRNA from 1 species
AUUGCCCUAGUAACGGCGAGUGAAGCGGCAACAGCUCAAAUUUGAAAUCUGGCGCAAGCCCGAGUUGUAAUUUGUAGAGGAUGCUUCUGGGUAGCGGCCGGUCUAAGUUCCUUGGAACAGGACGUCAUAGAGGGUGAGAAUCCCGUAUGUGACUGGCUUGCACCCUCCACGUAGCUCCUUCGACGAGUCGAGUUGUUUGGGAAUGCAGCUCUAAAUGGGAGGUAAAUUUCUUCUAAAGCUAAAUACCGGCCAGAGACCGAUAGCGCACAAGUAGAGUGAUCGAAAGAUGAAAAGCACUUUGGAAAGAGAGUUAAAAAGCACGUGAAAUUGUUGAAAGGGAAGCGCCCGCAACCAGACUUUGCGGCAGUGUUCGGCCGGUCUUCUGACCGGUUUACUCGCUGUCGUGAGGCCAUCAUCGUCUGGGACCGCUGGAUAAGACCUUAGGAAUGUGGCUCCCCUCGGGGAGUGUUAUAGCCUCUGGUGAUGCAGCGCGUCUCGGGCGAGGUCCGCGCUUCGGCAAGGAUGAUGGCGUAAUGGUUGUCGGCGGCCCGUCUUGAAACACGGACCAAGGAGUCUAACAUCUAUGCGAGUGUUCGGGUGUCAAACCCCUACGCGUAAUGAAAGUGAACGGAGGUGGGAACUUUUUGUGCACCAUCGACCGAUCCUGAUGUCCUCGGAUGGAUUUGAGUAAGAGCAUAGCUGUUGGGACCCGAAAGAUGGUGAACUAUGCCUGAAUAGGGUGAAGCCAGAGGAAACUCUGGUGGAGGCUCGCAGCGGUUCUGACGUGCAAAUCGAUCGUCAAAUUUGGGUAUAGGGGCGAAAGACUAAUCGAACCAUCUAGUAGCUGGUUCCUGCCGAA